rnacentral:rRNA from 1 species
CCCAGACUCCUACGGGAGGCAGCAGUGGGGGAUAUUGCACAAUGGGGGGAACCCUGAUGCAGCGACGCCGCGUGAGUGAAGAAGUAUUUCGGUACGUAAAGCUCUAUCAGCAGGGAAGAAAAACCGGCCUUAGGGCCGCCAGACGGUACCUGACUAAGAAGCCCCGGCUAACUACGUGCCAGCAGCCGCGGUAAUACGUAGGGGGCAAGCGUUAUCCGGAUUUACUGGGUGUAAAGGGAGCGUAGACGGCAGCGCAAGUCUGGAGUGAAAUGCCGGGGCCCAACCCCGGAACUGCUUUGGAAACUGUGCAGCUCGAGUGCAGGAGAGGUAAGCGGAAUUCCUAGUGUAGCGGUGAAAUGCGUAGAUAUUAGGAGGAACACCAGUGGCGAAGGCGGCUUACUGGACCGUAACUGACGUUGAGGCUCGAAAGCGUGGGGAGCAAACAGGAUUAGAUACCCCCGUA